AGUUUGAUCCUGGCUCAGGAUGAACGCUGGCGGCGUGCUUAACACAUGCAAGUCGAACGGACUUAUAACGCUGAGGAAGCUUCGGCGGACUCUUGUUGUAAGUUAGUGGCGGACGGGUGAGUAACGCGUGGGUAACCUGCCAUAUACAGGGGGAUAACACUUAGAAAUAGGUGCUAAUACCGCAUAAGCGCACGGUGUCGCAUGACACAGUGUGAAAAACUCCGGUGGUAUAUGAUGGACCCGCGUCUGAUUAGCUAGUUGGUGAGGUAACGGCCCACCAAGGCGACGAUCAGUAGCCGGCCUGAGAGGGUGAACGGCCACAUUGGGACUGAGACACGGCCCAAACUCCUACGGGAGGCAGCAGUGGGGAAUAUUGCACAAUGGGGGAAACCCUGAUGCAGCGACGCCGCGUGAGUGAAGAAGUAUUUCGGUAUGUAAAGCUCUAUCAGCAGGGAAGAAAAUGACGGUACCUGACUAAGAAGCCCCGGCUAACUACGUGCC
rnacentral:rRNA from 1 species